GACGAACGCUGGCGGCGUGCCUAAUACAUGCAAGUCGAACGCUUCUUUCCUCCCGAGUGCUUGCACUCGAUUGGAAAGAGGAGUGGCGGACGGGUGAGUAACACGUGGGUAACCUACCCAUCAGAGGGGGAUAACACUUGGAAACAGGUGCUAAUACCGCAUAACAGUUUAUGCCGCAUGGCAUAAGAGUGAAAGGCGCUUUCGGGUGUCGCUGAUGGAUGGACCCGCGGUGCAUUAGCUAGUUGGUGAGGUAACGGUUCACCAAGGCCACGAUGCAUAGCCGACCUGAGAGGGUGAUCGGCCACACUGGGACUGAGACACGGCCCAGACUCCUACGGGAGGCAGCAGUAGGGAAUCUUCGGCAAUGGACGAAAGUCUGACCGAGCAACGCCGCGUGAGUGAAGAAGGUUUUCGGAUCGUAAAACUCUGUUGUUAGAGAAGAACAAGGACGUUAGUAACUGGACGUCCCCUGACGGUAUCUAACCAGAAAGCCACGGCUAACUACGUGCCAGCCGCCGCCGUAA
rnacentral:rRNA from 1 species